GACGAACGCUGGCGGCGCGCUUAACACAUGCAAGUCGAACGGAAAGGCCCUUCGGGGUACUCGAGUGGCGAACGGGUGAGUAACACGUGGGUGAUCUGCCCUGCACUUUGGGAUAAGCCUGGGAAACUGGGUCUAAUACCGAAUAUGAUCAUCAGCUUCAUGGUUGGUGGUGGAAAGCUUUUGCGGUGUGGGAUGGGCCCGCGGCCUAUCAGCUUGUUGGUGGGGUAAUGGCCUACCAAGGCGACGACGGGGAGCCGGCCUGAGAGGGUGACCGGCCACACUGGGACUGAGAUACGGCCCAGACUCCUACGGGAGGCAGCAGUGGGGAAUAUUGCACAAUGGGCGCAAGCCUGAUGCAGCGACGCCGCGUGAGGGAUGGCGGCCUUCGGGUUGUAAACCUCUUUCAGCACAGACGAAGCGCAAGUGACGGUAUGUGCAGAAGAAGGACCGGCCAACUACGUGCCAGCAGCCGCCGUAA
rnacentral:rRNA from 1 species